CUUCAAGCUGUCACGGACCCAGGUCCUCUCAACCCCAGCCUCCCCCAUAAGGAGAGGUGGGCUCACAGAACUGCCCGUGGGAGGCCACUGAAGAGCCAGCAGCCCAGGCCACCGGGCUUGACGGUCUGCAUUCCCAGAAAGAAGGAAAACGCUUCAGAAGGUAGACGAGGAGCUCCCAUCUGCCGCCAGCCCCCAUGCUGUGUCGUCCUGGAGGCUGCGGGGCCAGAGGACAGCGGCAAGUGGGAGGCAUAGAAGCUGAGCCGAGCUGCCAGGAAGCUACAGGCCAGGAAGAAAGGUUCAGUUCCAGAGAAGACAGCCUGAGGGAUAGAAAAUCAGAUACAUAAUUUUAAUGGGAAGUGCUCUCAAAGUCAGUGCUCUCAGAGAGGAAAGGAGAAGGACAGAAUCGGGGACUUGAACUGAGAACAGUCACCACAAAGACCUCAGCUGCUCUCACAAGGACCCCACAGAUCAGACAGGUCACAUGCAUCUGUAUGGGGCUUUAAAUGGUUUUUCACAGCAUUUUUAGUAUCUUUCUGUAAAAAAGCAGGCUUCCCAGUUUCUAUGGAAAAAUAGGGAGACAGGUCAUGAUAGCCUGGAGCCAGAAACUGGCUGGGCCUUCAUACAGUGUUUAUGGGUUCAGUUACUAUGAGCUGUACCUGGACAACUUCAUAAUGAUUAAGAAAUAUGGCUUUGGAAUCAAAUAGCGCCACAGAGAAAUCCACGUCUGCAACGCUGUAGCUGUGUGACCUUAUGCAAGUUACUUAACCUCUCUGAACUCAGUUUCCAUGUCUAUAAAGUGAGGAUUAAAAAUACCUACCCCACAGGGUUGCUGUGAGGAUUAAAUGAGAUCACAUUUUGAAAGUUCUUGGCACAAAGCGAGUAUGUAAUAAAGGGUGCCUAGUUAUGCUUCGC
rnacentral:lncRNA from 1 species